AUGGCGCGUACCACGUGCUGCCACCGUUGCGGUGUGGCCGUGACCCUGCUGGAGUGCGGGGGGGACCUCCAGCCCCCCGGGGGGGCCCUGACUGUGCAGUGCUGCACCUCUGGGAUCGAUUUUGGGUGUCAGCCCAUGAGCUGGGUCCGUCAGAGACCCGGGCAGACACUGGAAUACAUCGCCAGCAUCAGCAGCACUGGCGGCGGCAUCGGCUACGCGCCGUCGGUCAAGGGCCGGUUCAGGAUCUCCAGGGACAACGGGCAGAGCUCGGUGACGCUGACCAUGAAAAACCUCAAGGACGAGGAUUCCGCCGUUUAUUUCUGCACAAAACGUGCCAGGCUCCAAGCGGCCAUGACCCUGUUGGAGUGA